rnacentral:snoRNA from 1 species
UGCUCAAUGAUUCAACCAUGUUAAUCAUGGUAAUAUACGCUAUUCUGAGCCACAUGAGGAUGUCAUAAGCUUUAUGAGAGCA